rnacentral:rRNA from 1 species
UACAGAGGUCUCAAGCGUUGUUCGGAUUCAUUGGGCGUAAAGGGUGCGUAGGCGGCGGGGCAAGUCUGGUGUGAAAUCCUGGGGCUCAACCCCGGAACUGCACUGGAUACUGCUUUGCUAGAGUACUGGAGAGGGAACUGGAAUUUACGGUGUAGCAGUGAAAUGCGUAGAUAUCGUAAGGAAGACCAGUGGCGAAGGCGAGUUCCUGGACAGUUACUGACGCUGAGGCACGAAAGCCAGGGGAGCAAACGGG